AUUGCUUCUCAGCCUUUUGGCUAAGAUCAAGUGUAGUAUCUGUUCUUAUCAGAAAAUAGCUUAUAUACUCAACAGAAAUCUGAGGCGCAAGUAUGAUAGUAGAUUCUAAAAGUAUUUUACCAAAGGAGGUGGAAUAUAAAACUAU
rnacentral:snRNA from 1 species